rnacentral:lncRNA from 1 species
GUUUAACUGCACACACCCCAGCAAAUGCCCACAGACAUGAAGUUUGGAGUCCACCCUGAUAGUGGAGAAAUUGCUCACCAAACCCAGCAGGGCAGCCCUCAGAUCAGGUUCAUUUAUCUGAUCCAAACACACACCAGGAAGAUGUCUAGAGAUGCCCUCAGUGAGGCACUGCAGCCCAAAGUCUCAGCAUCCCAAUGUGUAUCCCUAUGGAAUUGCCAGCUAUACUCCGUACCUGGUGAGGCCUGUGGGCAGAUGUGGCCAACCCUGUCCCCAAGCUGUUGUGAGCUAGAAAGGGCAAGAAAAGCAGGGUUCUAUGAAGGUACCUUUAGUGGGGUCCCCUCGUAUAUUUUCCUGCAGGAAGUGUUUAAUUCUGCAUGUUUUCAUCUUCUUCCAACUAAAGGAGGUCAACUUGUGUGUGUGUGUGGGGGGGUCAUAGAACCUUGACAAUGCUAUUUCUCCGUUCAUGCAUUCCCACCCACCCCCCCUUGACAGAAUGUAGCUUUUCUUGCUGACCACAGUCUUGGAUUCCUCUCCAUUCCCUCCAACUCUGAAAUAAACCCCCCUUCCCAACAAACCCAUCUUGUACCAGCAAGACAAGUCCCCCAUUGUAG